AGAGCCCCGCGGGAGACACAAAACAGGUACUGACGAAUGGGGCUCGUUAUUUAAAAUUCCACCACGGACGUCGCGGACGGCGGGCAGGCCAGACGCCGCUUGGAGGAGGUGGAGAGUUCGUUUCCUUCCUCUAGAUAAACAGGCCAGCAGCCAGAUCCUUCCGUGGUGAUAAAUGGCUUCCUCCUGCCACCGGCGUGGGGUCGCGCCUCACGCUGGCCGGAACCGUGGCCCGUCCAAUGCUCCGGGCGGGCAGGGCGGCCGCGGGAAGGUGCCAAAAGUGCCCUAAUCCCAGCAUGUCCCCAGGCCCCAGGAUUCCAGGCAUCCCUCUCCAGACCCCCAGGGUUCUGGAAAUACAGAGGGAGGCCGCCAUGACUUCCUGCUCAGCUCGGCUGCAGAGUGCACGUGGUCCCUCUGGGAGGCACCUACAUGGGGACACCUGGGCAGGCGGCCGGCGGGGCCAGCAGGUGACAGGUGCACAGAAGGCUGCUCCCCACGCCAGGCUCCCCAAACUCCAGGCCGAGGACAGAUGGCAGGGCCCCCUGAGGGCACAUGCUAAGAUUUCAGACCUUCAGCAACUAAGAAGGGGCCUGGAGACCUGCAUUUUCGCAAGUGCGUCCAGUGAGUUGGAUACACAGCCAGGUUCAAGAACUUUCUGCCGUCUGACCUUGCAGCAGAGGGUUGGCAAGGCCACUGGAGAGGACAGAGCGUUUGCUUGGGCCCUGGUGGUGCAAACAGCCUGUCCUCUGCCGCCUGGGGUGGUGACAGGGGGACCAGACCCUGUGCAGGCAGGGUGCAGGGUCCAGGCCUCAAGGAGACGCUAUUUGAGGAUUGCUUUUUUUUUUUUUUUAACAUUUAUUCAUUUUUUUUUGAAAUGCAGAGAGAGACAGAGCGUGAACGGGGGAAGGGGCACAGAGAGAGGGAGACACAGAAUCCGAAACGGGCUCCAGGCUCCGAGCUGUCAGCACAGAGCCCGACGUGGGGCUUGAACUCAUGGACCGCGAGAUCAAAGACCUGAGCCGAAGUCAGCCACUUAACCCACUGAGCCACCCAGGCGCCCUGAGGAUUGCUUUUUAACACACAGCAGGACCCUGUCCUUCCCCAACAGGGAAUGACCCUCCUAGAGAUCCAGGAGUUAAAAAAAAAAAGGCUAUUUAAGAACUUGUCAGCUUUUUUUUUUUUAACUACGAAAAGAAUGUUUGGAGCCUUCCCGCAAAGGAAUAGUAAGAUUAAGCAACUUAGAAGAGGCGGCUGAUGACAUACACAUACGCCCAGGAAGAAAAAUCUCUUACUCGCACAGAGCCAACUACGUGGGGAGCCCUGUGAGGUCUGCGCUUAGCCUGGCAGCCGCCCGGGGGAUUUCAGAGUCGACUGUGGUGUGACGGUGGUGACAGAUGCUCACCGCUCGCCCAGGCCAGGCCCUCCGUGCCCCUUUCCCGGCGCCCCCAGCAGCUGGAGGGGGUAAUGCAGUAACAGCUCAGGCCGGCCGGUCGGCCAACCGGCUCUGGCCUCUCUACGCCCGGACCCGCCAGCCCCAGCGCACAUCCCACUUGGUGUGGCCGUGGCUCGCGGGCGGAAACGGCCCAGGCCUGGCCCAUCGGCUCCUCUGCAGAGGAUUCUGGAGGAAGAUUCUGAAGCCCCAAGAGGGCCACAAGCCGGAAGGAGCCUGGAUCCCGGAAUGACCUUGUAGAGUGGACACGCCCACCACCGCCACGGACCCGUGUCGAGUCGCGACGUCCGUGACUCACGGAAGAAACAGGCCUUUGCUGUGCGGAGCCACUGACACUGGGGUCACGAACGGUGGUGGUCGUCUCACUGCUGUGGACUAAUGGUCACGGCCACAGUCGGCCAGGCUCUCGUCGGGGAAACAAAGCUCUGGGUUGGGGCGGGGGGGGGCGGUGGGGCAGGUAAAUGGGCCGAGGUCACAGCCAGGGUCCGGGGAGGCCAGCCCUCAGUGCCCCCUGUCGGAGGAGAAAUCGAGACUCGGACAGCCCGGGUUGCCAGCUGGUAGUUCUCAGGGAGCGGGGACUUGAACUGCCACCUCAGACUUAGACCGUGACCACACAGACCACGUGGACCACGUGGGCUCCGUGGCCAUGUCACAUUCCGGGAAACAGAAGGAGCAGCCGUGAGCACCCCCAGCCCCGUGCGCCCCCUGGGAGCCAGCGUCCCCUUCCCGCGGGCCAGCCUGGGGUCUCGUGGGGACGACUCCACUCCCAGGCAGCCAGCUCCCCGCUCACUGUCCGUCUCGGCCACCGGACUCCCGGGCCGCCCCCCCGCCCCCGCCCCCGUCCGCCCAGUCCUUCCCAGCCUCUCAGACACCAGCUGGAGCCGGCUUAUCGACGGCGGCAUUUGUCGGAUGGACGCUCAGGGUCGCCUCCGAGAGGCCUCCCAACACCCCGCCUUGUGGUCCAGCCCGCCGCCCUCCCUCCUGAAGCAUCGUCCACUUACUUGUUUAUUGUCCCCUGUCCCCAGAUGCGUGGGCCCCAGAAGGCCGGGGACGUUGGGCCGUGUGACGCUCGGAGGUGGCCGCGACGCCUGGUCCCCGACACAGAGGAGCAGGUGCUCGCCGUUCGUUGUCUGAAAGGAUCAGCCGUGAAGUCACCUCGGUUUCCUUCCCCCUCGUCGCUGUCUCCCUCUGUGGUGCAAGGGCCUGGGAGCGGGGCUCGGGCCACGCCUGGCAGGACGGCCUGGCGGCCAGGGGCCGCAGCACAAGGGAACGUUGGUGGGGCUCCGGGCUCCCGUGGAUGCGGCCUCGUGGUCCAGCAGAGGCUCCCGCAAGGCCGUGUCCUGAGCCACGGGACAGGGGCAGGUGGCUGAUACCUCUAAGCAUGAUCUCUGAUGGCCUCAAGGCCUCAUCAAACGUCUGGUAAAUCUGCACGGCUUCGUACAGUAUUCUACGCCACCAUCAGAACUGUGGCAGGAGUGGGGUUCCAGGCAGAUAACGGAGGCCCUGCCUGACCUCCCAGGGUCCCUGCCUCAUCCGGUCCUCACGUCGAGCAGACACAGGGCCGGGCGGUCGGCACCCAGGCAUCCAGGGUGUCCGGGGUCCCGAGGAGGUGGGCAGAUCUUCCCCGCGGAGGACCCUGUCCCUGGAAGUCCUUCCUUGUCGCCCAGCGCCUGGCCAACUGUCACUUCCUCUGGGGGACUGUCUCCACGGGCCUUCCUGGCCAGCCUGGCCCCAUCCGCUUCCCUGCCGUCCACCGCCCUCCGGGCACGCCGGCCCUCCGCUCCCACACCGGCCUGCAUCCGUGGGGUCGGUCGCCUCUGCCCACGAUGCUCCCUGACCCCACCUUCACAGGGUGGCCUCCUCCUCGGGAGGCAGAGAUGCCGCCCCAACACCCCGUCCUCCUGGACACGUCCCUGCCCUUCUCCUCCUCUGCACAUCUGCCUCCUUGUUCACCUGGAGAAAGGAUUCUGAACAGAGUUGUAGGGCUUGAACAGGGACUCCCAAGGGGUAUGUCCUCAUCCAAAUCCCCGGAUCCUAUGAGUGAGGCCUGAUGGGGAAAAAGGUCUAAGCGGGUGUGAUUAAACCAGGGACAUAGAGACGAGAUCCCCCUGGAAUGUCGGGGGGGGAGGGGUUCGCUAAACCAGUGACUAUGUCCUUAUAAGGGAAGGGGAGGGGAACCCAGGAGGGGCCACGUGACCAUGGAGGCCGAGAGCGGGGGACACAGUCACAGCCCAGGGACAUCUGGGGCCCCAGAGGCUGGAAGAGGCAGGAAGGACGCUCCCCCAGAGCCUCUGGAGGAAGCACGACCCUGGGACACCUCGAUCUCAGAUCGCUGCCUCCAAACUGGGCUGCGGGGGCAGGGGGGGGAGGUGAUUCGCCUUGCUGUGGGCCACCCAGUCUGUGGUCACUUGCUGUGGCCGCCCCAGGACACUCCUACACGGCCACACCCACUCUCCCAAAAUGUUGGCCCCAGCCCCUCCCGCCUUGCGGGGCUGAGGGGGGGGUCUGAGUGCGGGGAGGGGACCUGAGCGGCGGUGAAUGGGACUUGUACACAGACCAGACCCGACUGGCGGGGGGAGGGGGGGUCAUCACGGGUGGAGUAAGACUCCGCCAUGGCCGGAAAGCCACGGGCGCCUUGGGUGACGGCGGGGGGACUGUGGGGCCACGUCUGUUUCCUGUCGCUGCGUGUUCAGCCUGUUGUCUCUCGGUUCCCUGGGCCAGGAAUCGGGGGCAGCUGGGCCCUCUGCCUGGGGGUUUAGGCAGCUGAAAUGAAGGUGGCCUCAGGGAGGAGCAGCCCCCACACUCACUGGAAGUGUCAGCAAAGGUCAUGUUCCGGCAGGUCUAGAGCUCCUGGUCAAGCCUCGGCCUUCUUCUAAAUGCUUGCCUGAUUAGGCCAGGCCCACCCAGCCUCACUCUCAUGAUGAACCCAAAGUCAACUGAUUAGGGACUUUGAGUACAUCGGCAAAUGCCCUUCACCUUUGCCCUAUAACAUUCCAUCCUCACAGACAUGACAUCCCAUCCCAUUUGCCAUAUUCUGUUGGUCAUAGGUAGGUCCCGGGAUCUGCCCAGGCUCAAAGGAAGAGAAUUUCACAAGCAUGUGACUCAUUGAGAACCGCCCCCCCCCAUCUCUCCACUUCACCCUGGAGUGUGUCCACCACAUAAAAAUUGCUUAUUUUUUGUAAACUGUAUUUAAAAUAUUUUUUAAUGUUUAUUUAUUUUUGACAGAGAGAGAGAGACAGAACAUGAACAGGGGAGGGUCAGAGAGAGAGGGAGACACAGAAUCUGAAACAGGCUCCAGGCUCCAGGGUCCGAGCUGUCAGCACAGAGCCCGACGCGGGGCUCAAACCCACAAACCGUGAGAUCGUGACCUGAGCUGAAGUUGGAUGCUCAACCGACUGAGCCACCCAGGUGCCCCUUUGCAAACUUUAUUUUAAAAAAAUUUUUAAAAACCCUGUAAUCUUGUGAAUGCAAUGCUUGAAGUCCCUCCCGGGACCCUGGGAAGCACCUGGGUAGAGAGAGGAUCUGAACUCUAACCUGUAUUCGCUUCACAGAAAGUCUGCAUUUGAUGACGGGUCAGGGAGGGGACAUCUGACAAGGCUGUCUGAGCUUAAGAAUUGGGGCAACAAAGCCCUUUCCCGGGGGGGGGGGACCCAGGAGGCCAGCCUACUCCCUGCUGUCUCCUAAGGGGCCACUGCCCUGAUCUGCCGUGACAGGACCUGGGACAUGGCCAGGGCCCAGGGCACGACUACGGUGUACUAGUUAAGAUCCCAGUGCCCCUCAGCUCUUGGGGGGCCCCCGCCUCCCCGAUUUGUACCGGUUUCUACAAAUGUCUGGCUGACCCUAUUCUGUGGGCACCUUCAUCCAGAUGCCCAGCAACCAGGCCUGAUCCCGGCGACAGGAAGUCAAUUUAGGGACAGCGAAGUAGAGGGAGGGAGGUGGGGAGACGGGGCUGGUGCCGAAUCACGUGGGGGGUCCCUGGGGCAGAGGCGCCCCCUCUAGGGGCAGUGGCCGAGAGGCUCUGGGUUCGGACGCACACCCCCGCCCCCGGCUCAGAGGGGGUGGAGUCGUGCACCUGGCAUCUUGGAUGCAGAAAGCUCAGCGUCUGUGGGUUCAUUUAAACCAGUAAACCGGACCCCGGAGCUCGCUCGCUCGCUCUCUCUUCCUCUCUCAAAAAUAAAUAAUAAUUAAAAAAAAUUGGGGCA
ensembl:lncRNA